GAUGAACGCUAGCGGCAGGCCUAAUACAUGCAAGUCGAACGGUGUCUUCGGACAUAGUGGCGCACGGGUGCGUAACACGUAUGCAACCUACCUUACAUUGGGGGAUGGCCUUUCGAAAGGGAGAUUAAUUCCGCAUAAGACAGUAGUCUGGCAUCAGACAGCUGUUAAAGAUUUAUCGAUGUAAGCUGGGCAUGUGUCCAAUUAGUUAGUUGGCGAGGUAACGGCUCACCAAGACUAAGAUUGGUAGGGGAACUGAGAGGUCAAUCCCCCACACUGGCACUGAGAAACGGGCCAGACUCCUACGGGAGGCAGCAGUAGGGAAUAUUGGGCAAUGGACGCAAGUCUGACCCAGCCAUGCCGCGUGCAGGAAGAAGGCGUUAUGCGUUGUAAACUGCUUUUAUACAGGAAGAAACGACUCUUGCGAGAGGCAUUGACGGUACUGUAUGAAUAAGCACCGGCUAACUCCGUGCCAGCCGCCGCCGUAAGAC
rnacentral:rRNA from 1 species